GGGUCAAGACCACAGGCUUUAUAGGCACUUGUAUCAUCAGGCUCACCCAGCCCAGGGCAGGAGCCACAGAGCAUGUGCGUGGCACAGGCCGAGAGCCUCACUGCAUGGGCUCCAUGUGCCAGAGGCCUCAGGCCUCCCAGUGAGUGCUGGAGCUUUCCUGGGGUCAGACCUCUCCAGCAGGCAGAGGGACCAGCGAUGGGGCCCACCUUCCCAGACAGGGAGAAUGAAUGGAGGGAACCCAAGGACCAGCCACACCUCCCACCCCUGACUUAUACAAACCUGCCCCCAGGGCUGCAAGGGGCUGCCUCAGGCCAGCUGGCCCCAGGCUUGUGCUGACCAGCAACUCCUUUCAGGCUGAACCCGGGGGCUCAUCCUACUCUGCAAACAGCCCCACUUGCACACUUCGUCUAGGCAGAAAGAGGGGAGCCCUCUGCCCUCCCAGCAAACCCACCUGACAGCCUCUCCUGGCUGCUCUUGCCCCAGGCCUGCUCCCUGGGAUUUUUCUGAGAGCAGAAUGUUCUAAUGUCUCUAGACUUUUUCUUUCCUUCUAAGACCCCUACAUGAGUCUCAGUCUGGAGUCCGUGCAUGGGAUGAGAAGUUCCUGGCGCCCUGAGAUCAAGGACAGAAGUUUGUGUACUUCCCCUGGGAAGCGGUGUCACCUCUUCAUCUGACGGUCAAAAGGGCCCACGUCCCAAGAAGGGUACAGAGCUGCCCGGUGCCAGGUCACCUGUCCCACUUACAUGGUGUCCGUGUACACGGCAGGGACUCGGGAACCAGGCUGCCUGACUGGGCAUCCUGACUCUACUUCCUAUUAGUGAUGCUGGGAACCUGAGACCCAGACAGGAGUCCCCAUGUUCCUGAAUGGGUGUCUGAGGUAUUCAGGAAGAACGCAGACACAGCUGUGAGCCCUGAAGACCACAGACGGUCUUCUGCUUGAAGGCCCCAGGCUAGAGAAGGAAACAACGAAGCUCCUGGAGGUCAUGCUGCCCAAGGUCACGGGAGAAAACCAGGUUGGCUUGACUGGUAGGACGGGUUCCAGAGUGCUCAGACGCGGGACCGGGCGGCAGGGGUGGGGGCUGCCCAGUACCUCUCAGGGCCAGGAGCUGGGGUGGCGCAGCAGGGACUGCUGAGGAGGGGUCCAGGCCGCCCGUGGAUGCUCCAAACCAACGUUCCGCCACCUCGGGGAACUCAGGCCCGUCUCUUCCCGGCUUGGACUGACCAAAGACUCACGUAAUGACACGCGGCUUCCGGCCCCAAUAUCCCUGCGGCCAGGCUGGACGGCAGAAUCUCAACUCCUGGAGGCUGUCUAGUCCGCUCAAGUGCGGCGACUCCGCACUCAGAGCGUUCAGCUCAGCCGAGAACACUCCCCUGCAGCCAAACAACCGGCGGGGCAGAGCUUCCGGGGAACCCGGGGCGCUCCGGGGCGCUCCUGGACGCAGUCGCAUCCGCGGGGCAUGCCGGGACUUGGGCGGCACAGCCAACCCCGCGCGAGGGCGGGCGGUGGUUACCCGGCAACUGGGCGGGCACCAGGUUGGGGGGCGGGGCCAGAUGAGGCCGGUGAGCAGGUGUACUAACCGCGGAGCAGGGCCUCGCAGGCGGAUUGCGGAGGAUCCCGCUUUUCCUGUCCUCAGUUUCCCCACUCCUACCUGAGGAAAGGGAAGAUCAUCAAAGGGAUGCUACGAAACAAAGAGUAAAUCAUGGAAACUGAUAAUAAUAAUAACAAUAAUAAUAUUACUGAGCACUUAACUCUGGGCCUAGCCCUUUACAGAGAUUAUCUGGUUUGAUCCUCAUUUAAUCCUGUGAGAAAAGUAUGAUUUACUCAUACUGAUUUUGCAAAUGAGGAAACCGUGAUAUAGACAGAUUAAGCAUCUUGCCCAAACUAAUUAAUCUAGGGAGUAGCAGAGCUGGAAUUUGAGCCCAGGUAUUCCUGAAUCAGGCGGUCUGUGUUCUUAAUGACACAAGCAGUGAACAAUCCCUUCAAUUCAGGAAACGUAAGUCUGUGUUCCUACCAGGCCCUGCAGGGGCCAGUCCAGGGUCUAUGGAGCCUGAAGCCUGUACAAUUUGGGGGGGCCCUCUUUAAGAAAAAGAAUAAAAAUAGCAAAUAUAAAAUUAGGUACAAAAAGGAAUAUUUAUUUAAAUAAGAAUGUAAAAAUAUAUCACAACAAAAUAUUUUUACAAAUUGUAGAAAAAUUUAUGAGCCUGUGAACACAUUGCAAGGGUUCCACACAAAGGCAUCUUUGACCUUAGCUUGCCAUUGGAGUCCUUCAAUCAGAUGUCAAGCUACCUUGCAGGCUUCUCUGCUGUUCCCUUCACAACUCUGCAUCCCAGGGCCUAGCAAUCUGUUUAGUAGGGCUUUUCUGGCUGAGGGAUGGCACUUGGCCUGCCUAGGGUGGGGUGGGGAGGAGAGCAGGCGAGCCAGAGUGAACCACACUGGAACGUGUUCUACACUAGUGGCUCUUAGGAUGUGGUCCCCAGACCAGCAGCAUCUGCAUCACUUGGGAACAUUCUAGAAAUGCAAAUUCUCAUAUCACACCCUAUGCCUGUGGAAUCAAACUGAGGAGUGGAGGUCAGCAAUCUGUUUUCAGAAGCCCUCCAGGUGAUUCUGAUUCAUGCUCUGUGCACGUGUAAGAACCACUGUCUACACUGUUCCCCAGAGAUCCCCUGUGGACUUCAGCUCCAAUUGUCCACAAUGAGUGUUGCACUGAACAUCCUUAUACCUGCCUCCAUGGAUCUGUGUGUUUUGCUGGCUCAGGUGAAGGCUUUAUAGAAGAGAGAAGUUGGAUUGAGGCUAGAAAGAUUAUAAAGCACUUUAGUGAAUGUUUCCAUUUCCAACCUGAGCAGCCAUCUUGGGUGGUGUUCAGGGGGACUGGGGGCCCUCGUGCCCAUUUACAGUUGAGGAAACUGAGACUUGGAACAGUUGGCAAAGGCCCAGGCCUGCUGCGUCCUGGACUAGCAAGAUUUGCAUCACAUCACACUGCCUCGCCUCCGUUUCCCCAGGGACGGCUGCAGGGCAGAAAGGACCCCAAUGAGGCCGGAAAGUCGAGGUGGAAUCAAAUCUAAUCCCAGGUGCAUUCAUCUUUCAAGGUUCUGCUUAAGUGGUCCCUCCUACUUGAGGUCUUCUCCAAUCUCCUUGGUCAGGGUGGAUUGCAGUCUUCUUGGAGUCCCUGCUGAACCUGCUGCUGGCCUCGUCUAGCCUCAUCACACUGUUUCUCAGCUGUUUCUGUAUCUGACUCUCCAAUUGGACUGCCGUUUCUCCAAGGACUGAAAUGAUGUCUUAGGAUUCUCUGUGUCCUCAGCACCCGAUCCAGAGCUUGGAACGGUGUGGACCCUUCAGGAAUGCUUAUUAGGUGACUGAACCAAGAUCCAGCCCCUGCCUCCAAGGAUCUCAAAAUUGAAUGUAUCCCAGGGCUGAAGAUGAACUUGAACCCACUGCAGAGAUUUGGCUACUUCUGAAGAUACCUGGACAAGAUAUACUGAAUAAGAAACGAUCACCUUAGGAAUCAUCGUAUGGUCCAUGCCAGACAGAAUUCUCACAGUAGCCAGCAACAGAAAUGAACUCUGGCUAACUGAUAGAGAAAAUGAAAUUUCCUGGUGAGAGAAAAGGGGCUUGCCAAAUCAACCACAAGGUCAAGAAAAGUCACAGGAACCGAAGGAGACUGGUGACCAAAAAUGCAGUCAAGGACUCUGCCCAGGCCAGGCCUCAGGAACCUUUGGGUCAGGGUUUCGUGCUUUGCAUAAUUUCUAAACCAUUCCUGUUUUUGUCUCUCUUCAAAGUUCGAAGUUGAGAGUGGAGCUCCUGAUUCCUGGCCUGCAUCAUGUGCUUGCACCCUGGGACGAAGGAAAACGGGAGCUCCAGGACAAGGGAGGACUUCCUUUUUAACUUCAACAAUUAAAGCAGAACCUGGUUCUAUCCCUUACUUUAUACAGCGGGGCACUUCUCCCCAGUAGGAGGGGGGUUCAGGUGAUGCUGGCCCCUUGAGGAGAGCAAGGUCCUGAGCAGUUAACAUCUUUACGGUUCUUGGGGUUAUCCCAUUCCAUCCCAAGAGGCAGCCUGGGCAGGCACCAUCAUCUCAAGUGCAGAAGUAGAAACCAAAGCUCAGAGGGGUGAAAUGGCUUGUCCCAAACCACGUAAGGUGGUAAGCAAUGCCUCUCUAUCACACUGGUCCACCUUCCUCAGUGCCCUUGGGGAAAAUCAUUAUUUAUUUGUAAUUGAAGUGGCUUCCUCUUAUCCUCUAUUGCCUCCCAAUCAAUUUCCAUUUUUCUAACCACAAAUCACAGCCUGUCAACCCCACCCCAAACCCCUGCUUUGAUGCCUUGACUCAGGAAAAAGAUCAAACCUGAUCAAGGCUAACAAAACCCUGCUUCCACUCCAGCUUUACUUUCAUCGUGCUCCCCAUUUUCUCUGUGCUUCAGCCUCUCCAGCCUUCCGUCAGUCCCUCAUAUAUGCCAGUUCCUUCCCAGUGUUUCUCCUGCCUAAAACUCCACCCUCUCUCCAUUGCACAUCCUUCAGACCUCAGCUCAGUGUCACCUCCUCCAGGAAGCCUUCCCUGAUCCCCUAGCCUAGGUGCCAUUAAAGCACUCUCUUUCCUACAACUGAUUUUUACUGGUUUUGUGAUUCACUGAUUAACGUCUGGUUCCUACACUAGAGGAGCUCCAGAAGGCAUAGGCACCAAGCCUGUUUUGUUUCU